GGUGUUAUGGCUCAGAGGUAGAGCGCUUGCUUCACACGCGUGGGACCCUGGGUUUGAGCCUCAGCACCA
rnacentral:tRNA from 1 species